UUUUCCAUUAACUUGCUGCUCUAGUCUGCCAGUGAUAGGUGUGGUUAUACACAUGAGAUAAAACAGUAAUGGGCCAUUGUACACAGAGAUGAAGUGUGUUUUGUCUUUUCUACAUGGUCUAGACAUUG